AUUGAACGCUGGCGGCAGGCCUAACACAUGCAAGUCGAGCGGAUGAAGGGAGCUUGCUCCUGGAUUCAGCGGCGGACGGGUGAGUAAUGCCUAGGAAUCUGCCUGGUAGUGGGGGAUAACGUCCGGAAACGGGCGCUAAUACCGCAUACGUCCUGAGGGAGAAAGUGGGGGAUCUUCGGACCUCACGCUAUCAGAUGAGCCUAGGUCGGAUUAGCUAGUUGGUGGGGUAAAGGCCUACCAAGGCGACGAUCCGUAACUGGUCUGAGAGGAUGAUCAGUCACAUUAGAACGUGGACACGGUCCAGGCUCCUACGGUAGGCAGCAGUGGGGAAUAUUGGACAAUGGGCGAAAGCCUGAUCCAGCCAGGCCGCGUAUGUGAAGAAGGUCUUCGGAUUGUAAAGCACUUUAAGUUGGGAGGAAGGGCAGUAAGUUAAUACCUUGCUGUUUUGACGUUACCAACAGAAUAAGCACCGGCUAACUUCGUG
rnacentral:rRNA from 1 species